ACCUGUUUUUUGAUGCAGGAAACUCGAUUUUUAAGUUAACUACAACGUGUGGCUUCUUCUGUUGAAGAAGCUAGUAAGAAAGCUAGUAGGAAAAAUUUUAAAAAAUCU
rnacentral:lncRNA from 1 species